rnacentral:misc_RNA from 1 species
AACGCACAUUGCGCCCUUUGGUAUUCCUUAGGGCAUGCCUGUUCGAGCGUCAUUUAACCCUUCAAGCUCUGCUUGGUGUUGGGCGUUUGUCCCGCCUCGGGCGCGGACUCGCCUUAAAAUCAUUGGCGGCCUUUGAAUCGGCUUCGAGCGCAGCACAUUCGCGUCUCCGAACCGACACUCUGGCGUCCAGAAAGUCGAACCCCCCAAUUUUGACCUCGGAUCAGGUAGGGAUACCCGCUGAACUUAA